AUUGAACGCUGGCGGCAUGCCUAACACAUGCAAGUCGAACGAGCGGCGGACGGGGGAGUAAUGUCUGGGAAACUGUCUGAUGGAUGGGGAUCACUACUGGAAACGGUUGGUAAUACCGCAUAAAAUCCGAUGUGCCCAGUUGGGAUUAGCUGGUAGGUGGGGUAAUGGCUCACCUAGGCGACGAUCCCUAGCUGGUCUGAGAGGAUGACCCGCCACACUGGAACUGAGACACGGUCCAGACUCCUACGGGAGGCAGCAGUGGGGAAUCUUGCACAAUGGGCGCAAGCCUGAUGCAGCCAUGCCGCGUGUGUGAAGAAGGCCUUCGGGUUGUAAAGCACUUUCAGCAGGGAGGCGUUACCCGCAGAAGAAGCACCGGCUAACUCCGUGCCAGCAGCCGCGGUAAUAC
rnacentral:rRNA from 1 species